UUUUACAGUAAUUGUGUAUAUUUUUAUAUUUAGUUUAUUGUGUUAUAUUUUGUAUAUUAUAUGACUUAUAUUGGGUAUAGUAUACUAAUUACAGAUUGUAAUUAGUUGAUUAGUCUAUAUAUAUGCUUUGUUCAUUUUAUUUACGUAUUUGACAGUUGGACUUAUUGACAUACGACAUUUUCUACUGGUUUGGGUAACUUUGGUUUGACUGUAGUUUACUUCAAAGGUUUUCUUUUUAUGCUUCGGUGGACCGCACACUUUCUUUAUUUCUAUUGGUCAUUAUAUUUUGGCGCUAUAUUUCUUUUGUUCUUUUAUGCUGGUCAUCACUUUUCUAUAUACUGGUGGACAUGUUGAUAUGUGCUGGAUGAAAUUCUAAGUUUGAACCUAUAUUCGUUCUAAGUUUUCUCUAUAUUCUAUAUUGAGGUAUAUUUAAUGUAAUCCUGGGAUGAUGUAAAUCAAUUUCCAUAGAUAUAAAUCAGGAGGCCUUUGCACCUCAUGCGAGGGUACGUUUUAUGUAUAUUUGUUAUUAUCCUGAAAACUAGUCCAGAAAUAAAAGGAACCAUCUUAAAGAAAGUAUUGUGUUUAUUUAAGCCCUAGAAAGUGCUACUACA